rnacentral:misc_RNA from 1 species
CUGAGUGUUUUGAGUCUAACUCAAAUCCUCCCACCCUUUGUUUAAAUGACCUGUUGCUUCGGUGAGACUGACAACUUGUUGUCGGUUGACUGAUUUCAUUAUCAGUGAGCUUGUUUGCUCACCGAAGUUUUUUUACAACUCUUUUAUAUCAAGAUAUUUGAGAAAACAAAAACAAAAAAUCA